rnacentral:tRNA from 1 species
AUUACUUUAGCAUAUUAGUGCAAUAAAUUUAGGAUUUAUUUAUAAAUAAUUUUAAUUAUUUAAGUAAUA